rnacentral:sRNA from 1 species
GCUGAGAAGCGGGAGUCUCCGAGAGAAGAAAGGCAGGUGGAAGGAGAGGAAGCGGAUGCCGUGGGGUUUACAGCAGGAAAAUCCGUGGAGACAGCAGAUCCGAGAAGCGGCGAUGUUUGCGUAGAACCCUGUACGUGCUUCCUUCGGCCUGUCGCUCUUCCCUUCUCUCUGACCAGCACCAUGCUUCUCCUGGUGACAAGCCUUCUGCUCUGUGAGUUACCACACCCAGCAUUCCUCCUGAUCCCAGGGAAAUCGGCUCAGUAACAACGAAUGUUCGUGCACAUUUCGUGAAAUCUGUCUGCAUGGAGGAGUCACAUUUGAGGUUCACGUGAAUACUAGUCAAAGAGGAUUUCGACAGAAACUGCUUUAUCCAAAUUCAGGAAGGGAGGGUACUGCUGCUCAGAAUUUCUCCUGUUUCAUCUACAAUGCGGAUUUAAUGAACUGCACCUGGGCGAGGGGUCCGGCGGCCCCCCGUGACGUCCAGUAUUUUUUGUACAUACAAAACUCAAAGAGAAGGAGGGAGAUCCGGUGUCCUUAUUACAUACAAGACUCAGGAACCCAUGUGGGAUGUCACCUGGAUAACCUGUCAGGAUUAACGUCUCGCAAUUACUUUCUGGUUAACGGAACCAGCCGAGAAAUUGGCAUCCAAUUCUUUGAUUCACUUUUGGACACAAAGAAAAUAGAACGAUUCAACCCUCCCAGCAAUGUCACCGUACGUUGCAACACGACGCACUGCCUCGUACGGUGGAAACAGCCCAGGACCUAUCAGAAGCUGUCAUACCUGGACUUUCAGUACCAGCUGGACGUCCACAGAAAGAAUACCCAGCCUGGCACGGAAAACCUGCUGAUUAAUGUUUCUGGUGAUUUGGAAAAUAGAUACAACUUUCCAAGCUCUGAGCC